rnacentral:rRNA from 1 species
CAAUAGCGUAUAUUAAAGUUGUUGCAGUUAGAAAGCUCGUAGUUGGAUUUCGGGGCAGCCUGGCUGGUCCGCCGCAAGGCGAGUACUGGUCAGCCGCCCUUCCUCUCGAAAGCCCCGACUGCUCUUCGUUGCAGUGGUCGGGUAGUUCGGGACGUUUGCUUUGAAAAAAUUAGAGUGUUCAAGGCAGGCCUACGCCUGAAUACAUUAGCAUGGAAUAAUGGAAGAGGACCUCGGUCCUAUUUUGUUGGUUUCCAGGGCCGAAGUAAUGAUUAAGAGGGACAGUUGGGGGCAUUCGUAUUUAAUUGUCAGAGGUGAAAUUCUCGGAUUUAUGAAAGACGAACAACUGCGAAAGCAUUUGCCAAGGAUGUUUUCAUUAA